CAACAAUAUUUAUGGGACUUUACUAACAGAAAGAUCAUUCCAUAUGAUAUUUGGUAGUCAGUUCUUCGGAUAUUUGAUGGGUUUGUUCACAAAUUAUAAAUUUACUAAUUUAGUGAUCUUCUGUGUCUAAUGGGAACAAUAGGUUUGGAUCUAAUUGGAAAAUAUGAAUUUUUAAUGGUUUGAUAACAAUAGUAAGUACACACUGGAAUUUGAGUACGAAAAUCAUCCCUUUCUCCCGCCUUUAACAUUUGCUAAAUUCAGUCUUUGUUCAUGAAGCUAAUUUUGUUUUUGUUUUCUUGCCAGUUAUAAUUGGUUGAUUAUACGACCCUCCAAUGCUGUCAUCAUCAGCAAUGAUCAGCACUUUGCUUAUCGAUUGGCGAUUGAUUUUGAAGACCAUAAUAGCCUUGAUGGAAUUGUUGAGUUGUAAUUUUGGGUAGCUAGUUAAUGGUUUUUUUUUUUUUUUUUUUGUGGAACGGUGGUAAUUAGCAUAGUUGUUAAAAAUCUACUAUACAUGAUACGUAUCCUACUCUGUAUCUUUUUUGUAUAGAAAUCGUUCGACACGAUCGUGUAUCCUAUGAUUUAUACACGUAUCCUAAUUCGGUACGUAAUCUAUGAUUACUUAUUAGGAAAAAGUUAGACCUUAUUUCA